GAGUAACCUGCCCCCUACUCUGGGAUAAGCCUGGGAAACUGGGUCUAAUACUGGAUAUGACCAAUCACUGCAUGGUGUGUUGGUGGAAAGAUUUUUUGGUGGGGGAUGGACUCGCGGCCUAUCAGCUUGUUGGUGGGGUAAUGGCCUACCAAGGCGACGACGGGUAGCCGGCCUGAGAGGGCGACCGGCCACACUGGGACUGAGACACGGCCCAGACUCCUACGGGAGGCAGCAGUGGGGAAUAUUGCACAAUGGGCGAAAGCCUGAUGCAGCGACGCCGCGUGAGGGAUGACGGCCUUCGGGUUGUAAACCUCUUUCACCAGGGACGAAGCUAACGUGACGGUACCUGGAGAAGAAGCACCGGCUAACUACGUGCCAGCAGCCGCGGUAAUACGUAGGGUGCGAGCGUUGUCCGGAAUUAUUGGGCGUAAAGAGCUUGUAGGCGGUUUGUCGCGUCUGCUGUGAAAGACCGGGGCUUAACUCCGGUUCUGCAGUGGGUACGGGCAGACUAGAGUAUGGUAGGGGAGACUGGAAUUCCUGGUGUAGCGGUGAAAUGCGCAGAUAUCAGGAGGAACACCGAUGGCGAAGGCAGGUCUCUGGGCCAUUACUGACGCUGAGAAGCGAAAGCAUGGGGAGCGAACAGGAUUAGAUACCCUGGUAGUCCAUGCCGUAAACGUUGGGCGCUAGGUGUGGGGCUCAUUCCACGAGUUCCGUGCCGCAGCUAACGCAUUAAGCGCCCCGCCUGGGGAGUACGGCCGCAAGGCUAAAACUCAAAGGAAUUGACGGGGGCCCGCACAAGCGGCGGAGCAUGCGGAUUAAUUCGAUGCAACGCGAAGAACCUUACCAAGGCUUGACAUACACCGGAAUCAUGCAGAGAUGUGUGCGUCUUCGGACUGGUGUACAGGUGGUGCAUGGUUGUCGUCAGCUCGUGUCGUGAGAUGUUGGGUUAAGUCCCGCAACGAGCGCAACCCUCGUUCCAUGUUGCCAGCACGUCAUGGUGGGGACUCAUGGGAGACUGCCGGGGUCAACUCGGAGGAAGGUGGGGAUGACGUCAAAUCAUCAUGCCCCUUAUGUCUUGGGCUUCACGCAUGCUACAAUGGCCGGCACAGAGGGUUGCGAAACUGUGAGGUGGAGCUAAUCCCAAAAAACCGGUCUCAGUUCGGAUUGGGGUCUGCAACUCGACCCCAUGAAGUCGGAGUCGCUAGUAAUCGCAGAUCAGCAACGCUGCGG
rnacentral:rRNA from 1 species